rnacentral:snRNA from 13 species
GUGCUCGCUUUGGCAGCACAUAUACUAAAAUUGGAACGAUACAGAGAAGAUUAGCAUGGCCCCUGUGCAAGGAUGACAUGCAAAUUCGUGAAGCGUUCCAUAUUUAA